CAUACGGGGCGCUGCAGUGGGGAAUAUUGGACAAUGGGCGAAAGCCUGAUCCAGCCAUGCCGCGUGUGUGAAGAAGGCCUUCGGGUUGUAAAGCACUUUCAGUGGGGAAGAAAGCCUUGGGGCUAAUACCCUCGAGGAAGGACAUCACCCACAGAAGAAGCACCGGCUAACUCCGUGCCAGCAGCCGCGGUAAUACGGAGGGUGCGAGCGUUAAUCGGAAUUACUGGGCGUAAAGCGCGCGUAGGCGGUCUGAUAAGCCGGUUGUGAAAGCCCCGGGCUCAACCUGGGAACGGCAUCCGGAACUGUCAGGCUAGAGUGCAGGAGAGGAAGGUAGAAUUCCCGGUGUAGCGGUGAAAUGCGUAGAGAUCGGGAGGAAUACCAGUGGCGAAGGCGGCCUUCUGGACUGACACUGACGCUGAGGUGCGAAAGCGUGGGUAGCAAACAGGAUUAGAUACCCCAGUAGUC
rnacentral:rRNA from 1 species